rnacentral:rRNA from 1 species
AGAGUUUGAUCAUGGCUCAGGGCGAACGCUGGCGGCGUGCCUAAUACAUGCAAGUCGAGCGGACAGAUGGGAGCUUGCUCCCUGAUGUUAGCGGCGGACGGGUGAGUAACACGUGGGUAACCUGCCUGUAAGACUGGGAUAACUCCGGGAAACCGGGGCUAAUACCGGAUGCUUAUUUGAACCGCAUGGUUCAAAUAUAAAAGGUGGCUUCGGCUACCACUUACAGAUGGACCCGCGGCGCAUUAGCUAGUUGGUGAGGUAAUGGCUCACCAAGGCAACGAUGCGUAGCCGACCUGAGAGGGUGAUCGGCCACACUGGGACUGAGACACGGCCCAGACUCCUACGGGAGGCAGCAGUAGGGAAUCUUCCGCAAUGGACGAAAGUCUGACGGAGCAACGCCGCGUGAGUGACGAAGGUUUUCGGAUCGUAAAGCUCUGUUGUUAGGGAAGAACAAGUACCGUUCGAAUAGGGCGGUACCUUGACGGUACCUAACCAGAAAGCCACGGCUAACUACGUGCCAGCCGCCGCGGUAAUUC